ACCUGGGUGGCUCAGUGGUUGAGCGUCUGCCUUCAGCUCAGGGCAUAAUCCUGGAGUCCUGGGAUCGAGUCCCAGAUCGGGCU
rfam:Canis lupus familiaris chromosome 9, whole genome shotgun sequence.